CCUACGGGUGGCAGCAGUGGGGAAUAUUGCACAAUGGUCGCAAGUCUGAUGCAGCCACGCCGCGUGAGUGAAGAAGGGUUUCGGCUUGUAAAGCUCUGUUGGUAGUGACGAAAGCACGUGGUUGUAUAUGCUAUUUAUUUGACGGUAAUUACAUAGAAAGUACCGGCUAACUCCGUGCCAGCAGCCGCGGUAAUACGGAGGUGGCAAGCGUUGUCCGGAUUUAUUGGGCGUAAAGUGAGCGCAGGCGGUGCAAUAAGUCUGAUGUGAAAGCCCUGGGCUCAACCGGGGAAUUGCAUCUGAAACUGGUGAGCUAGAGUACAGAAGAGGAGGGUGGAACUCCACGUGUAGCGGUGAAAUGCGUAGAGAUGUGGAAGAACACCGAUGGCGAAGGCAGCUCGCUGGUCUUCAACUGACGCUGAGGCGCGAAAGCGUGGGGAGCGAACAGGAUUAGAUACCCCUGUAGUC
rnacentral:rRNA from 1 species